rnacentral:rRNA from 1 species
GUUUAAUAACCUUAAGCCAAUUGGACGUUACCCGCCAGAAAGAAGCCACGGGCCUAACUUCCGUGGCCAGCAAGCCGCGGUGAUACCGGAAGGUGCAAACGGUUAAUCGGGAAUUACUGGGCGUAAAGCGCACGCAGGGCGGUCUGUCAAGUUGGGAUGUGAAAUCCCCGGGCUCAACCUGGGAACUGCAUUCGAAACUGGCAGGCUAGAGUCUUGUAGAGGGGGGUAGAAUUCCAGGUGUAGCGGUGAAAUGCGUAGAGAUCUGGAGGAAUACCGGUGGCGAAGGCGGCCCCCUGGACAAAGACUGACGCUCAGGUGCGAAAGCGUGGGGAGCAAACAGGAUUAGAUACCCUGGUAGUCCACGCCGUAAACGAUGUCGACUUGGAGGUUGUGCCCUUGAGGCGUGGCUUCCGGAGCUAACGCGUUAAGUCGACCGCCUGGGGAGUACGGCCGCAAGGUUAAAACUCAAAUGAAUUGACGGGGGCCCGCACAAGCGGUGGAGCAUGUGGUUUAAUUCGAUGCAACGCGAAGAACCUUACCUACUCUUGACAUCCAGAGAACUUUCCAGAGAUGGAUUGGUGCCUUCGGGAACUCUGAGACAGGUGCUGCAUGGCUGUCGUCAGCUCGUGUUGUGAAAUGUUGGGUUAAGUCCCGCAACGAGCGCAACCCUUAUCCUUUGUUGCCAGCGGUUAGGCCGGGAACUCAAAGGAGACUGCCAGUGAUAAACUGGAGGAAGGUGGGGAUGACGUCAAGUCAUCAUGGCCCUUACGAGUAGGGCUACACACGUGCUACAAUGGCGCAUACAAAGAGAAGCGACCUCGCGAGAGCAAGCGGACCUCAUAAAGUGCGUCGUAGUCCGGAUUGGAGUCUGCAACUCGACUCCAUGAAGUCGGAAUCGCUAGUAAUCGUGGAUCAGAAUGCCACGGUGAAUACGUUCCCGGGCCUUGUACACACCGCCCGUCACACCAUGGGAGUGGGUUGCAAAAGAAGUAGGUAGCUUAACCUUCGGGAGGG